rnacentral:rRNA from 1 species
UACGUAGGGGGCAAGCGUUGUCCGGAAUCAUUGGGCGUAAAGAGCGUGUAGGCGGCUCGGUAAGUCCGCUGUGAAAGUCCAGGGCUCAACCCCGGAAUGCCGGUGGAAACUGUCGAGCUAGAAUCCGGAAGAGGCGAGUGGAAUUCCUGGUGUAGCGGUGAAAUGCGCAGAUAUCAGGAGGAACACCAAUGGCGAAGGCAGCUCGCUGGGACGGUAUUGACGCUGAGACGCGAAAGCGUGGGGAGCAAACAGG